rnacentral:rRNA from 1 species
CCCUACUAAGGUUGAUCCUGGCUCAGGACGAACGCUGGCGGCGUCCCUUCACAUGCAAGUCGAACGGAGAAUUUUAUUUCGGUAGAAUUCUUAGUGGCGAACGGGUGAGUAACGCGUAGGCAACCUGCCCUUUAGACGGGGACAACAUUCCGAAAGGAGUGCUAAUACCGGAUGUGAUCAUCUCGCCGCAUGCCAAGAAGAGAAAAAUUGCCCUCUCACAAGUUAGCUUACCGUAAGGGGUGGCCCUCGUUUUAAUUAACUUAGUUGGUAGGGUAACGGCCUCCCCAAGGGGCGAUAACCCGUCCCCGGUUAGAAGAGAUAGACCGCCCCCAUUGGGGAUUGAGCCCCCGCCCAUACUUCCUGGGGGGAGCAGCAGUGGGGAAUUCUCCCCAAUGGAAGAAAUUCUGGCGGAACAACCCCCGCGUGAGUGAUGAAGGAUUUCGGUCUUGAAAAGUUUUUUUGUUUAUGACGAACGUCCAGUGUGUGAACAAUGCAUUGCAAUGACGGUAGUAAACGAGGAAGCCACGGCUAACUACGUGCCAGCAGCCGCGGUAAUACGUAGGUGGCGAGCGUUGUCCGGAAUUAUUGGGCGUAAAGAGCAUGUAGGCGGCUUAAUAAGUCGAGCGUGAAAAUGCGGGGCUCAACCCCGUAUGGCGCUGGAAACUGUUAGGCUUGAGUGCAGGAGAGGAAAGGGGAAUUCCCAGUGUAGCGGUGAAAUGCGUAGAUAUUGGGAGGAACACCAGUGGCGAAGGCGCCUUUCUGGACUGUGUCUGACGCUGAGAUGCGAAAGCCAGGGUAGCGAACGGGAUUAGAUACCCCGGUAGUCCUGGCCGUAAACGAUGGGUACUAGGUGUAGGAGGUAUCGACCCCUUCUGUGCCGGAGUUAACGCAAUAAGUACCCCGCCUGGGGAGUACGGCCGCAAGGUUGAAACUCAAAGGAAUUGACGGGGGCCCGCACAAGCAGUGGAGUAUGUGGUUUAAUUCGACGCAACGCGAAGAACCUUACCAAGUCUUGACAUCCCUUGACGAACAUAGAAAUAUGUUUUCUCUUCGGAGCAAGGAGACAGGUGGUGCAUGGUUGUCGUCAGCUCGUGUCGUGAGAUGUUGGGUUAAGUCCCGCAACGAGCGCAACCCUUAUGGUCAGUUACUACGCAAGAGGACUCUGGCCAGACUGCCGUUGACAAAACGGAGGAAGGUGGGGAUGACGUCAAAUCAUCAUGCCCUUUAUGACUUGGGCUACACACGUACUACAAUGGCGUUAAACAAAGAGAAGCAAGACCGCGAGGUGGAGCAAAACUCAGAAACAACGUCCCAGUUCGGACUGCAGGCUGCAACUCGCCUGCACGAAGUCGGAAUUGCUAGUAAUCGUGGAUCAGCAUGCCACGGUGAAUACGUUCCCGGGCCUUGCACACACCGCCCGUC